rnacentral:lncRNA from 1 species
CGUGUCUGUAAGCAGCUCUUUAUUGAAAUGUGUCAACUCCAUACCAGAAUGAAUAAGGUCAGGAUAUUGAAUAUAAAUGAAACCUGCAGUUAUUCUGAAAGUUACAUCUUUAGUUCCUCUCCAUGAACUUCUAAUACUAUCACUAAGGAAAAGAAUUUGAUUUUACUCUUCAUUUCUUUGUCCUACUUCUAAGGUAACUGUUCUCAAGAUUUAACUAGUGUUGCUUUAUUUUCCUCCCUUUUGGGGAUAGAGGAGAUGUUGGGGACAACUUCUUACAAAUUUCUUAGUUCUGCCCCUUUCAACCUCUGAGAUGGCUUUUGCUGCCCUAGACACUUCAGCAAUUAAGCUAGAAUUGGAGCCAGUUGAGUUGUGUGUAGACAUUUGAACUUUCUCUUAUUUCCCUUAGAAACUCCUCAGCCUUCAGAUAGAUUGGAAAGAAAAUAAAUGCACAGAUUUCACAUGAGUUUUCAAAUGAUAGGAUUUCAGCUUUUUUCAAAGUUUUUGUUUGUUUUUUGGUGGGGAAUAAAGUAGACUGGGCUAGAAGCUUUAUUUUGUAAAGAUAACAAAAUAGCAUGUUAUUUUAUCAUGAGGCUUUUCAUUAUAAGUUUACUUUUUCAAUUGAGACAAGCUUUGAAUUUUAACAUAAUGGAAAAAAUUAAGAUCUGUGGUAAAUUUAAUCUGCGUUUGUAAGCACAUUUAUAGACAAAGAUUAAGUAUUGAAACAAAGUACCAGAAUAUUUUAAUACUAAUUAUUGUAGAAGUUUUCUUCGUUUGAGUCUACUGGGUUCUGUUUUACAUCAAAAGAAAACAUUGUGUCAUGUUAAUGUAUGAUAGCUACAAAAAAAAAAAAAAAAAAAAAAAAAAAAACUACACAAGGAUACCACCCUCAGUGCUGUGAAGAGAAAUCAUUGUCAGACUUUUCUUAAAAUAUAAAAAGUCCCCUGUUCAGGUUUAACUGAAUAUAAUAAGCCACUGGAGAAACGUUUAUAUUCUUGCUACUUUUUAAAAAGCAGUCAAUUAUUGUGUAGCAAGCAAACAUCUUUUUGAACAAUUUAUCUACAAAG